GAUGAACGCUGGCGGCGUGCUUAACACAUGCAAGUCGAACGGAAAGGCUCCUGCUUGCUGGGGUACUCGAGUGGCGAACGGGUGAGUAACACGUGGGCGAUCUGCCCUGCACUUCGGGAUAAGCCUGGGAAACUGGGUCUAAUACCGGAUAGGACGCUGGUUUGGAUGCCAUUGUGGAAAGUUUUUUCGGUGUGGGAUGAGCUCGCGGCCUAUCCGCUUGUUGGUGGGGUAAUGGCCUACCAAGGAUCGACGGAUAGCCGGCCUGUGAGGGUGUACGGCCACAUGGGGACUAAGAGAGGGACCAGACGCCAACGGGAGGCAGCAGGGGGGAAUAUUGCACAAUGAGCGCAAGUCUGAUGCAGAGGCGCCGCGUGGGGGAUGACGGCCUGCGGGUUAUAAACACCAUUCGCUAGAGACGAAGCGCAAGUGACGGUACCUGGAGAAGAAGCACCGGCUAACUACGUG
rnacentral:rRNA from 1 species